GUCGGUGCAGAUAGCGGUGAGGGUCCACCCGUUCCCAUUCCGAACACGGAAGUUAAGCUCACUUGUGUCGAAAAUACUUGCUUGGUAACGAGCCGGGAAGAUAGAGUGUGCCGACA
rnacentral:rRNA from 1 species